rnacentral:rRNA from 1 species
GAUGAACGCUGGCGGCGUGCCUAAUACAUGCAAGUCGAGCGAACGGACGAGAAGCUUGCUUCUCUGAUGUUAGCGGCGGACGGGUGAGUAACACGUGGAUAACCUACCUAUAAGACUGGGAUAACUUCGGGAAACCGUAGCUAAUACCGGAUAAUAUUUUGAACCGCAUGGUUCAAAAGUGAAAGACGGUCUUGCUGUCACUUAUAGAUGGAUCCGCGCCGCAUUAGCUAGUUGGUAAGGUAACGGCUUACCAAGGCAACGAUGCAUAGCCGACCUGAGAGGGUGAUCGGCCACACUGGAACUGAGACACGGUCCAGACUCCUACGGGAGGAAGCAGUAGGGAAACUUCCGCAAUGGGCGAAAGCCUGACGGAGCAACGCCGCGUGAGUGAUGAAGGUCUUCGGAUCGUAAAACUCUGUUAUUAGGGAAGAACAUAUGUGUAAGUAACUGUGCACAUCUUGACGGACCUAAUCAGAAAGCCACGGCUAACUACGUG